rnacentral:rRNA from 1 species
GACGUAGGGGGCAAGCGUUGUUCGGAUUCACUGGGCGUAAAGGGUGCGUAGGCGGUCGGGUAAGUCUGAUGUGAAAUCUCACAGCUUAACUGUGAAACUGCAUUGGAUACUAUCCGGCUAGAGGAAUGGAGGGGAGACUGGAAUACUUGGUGUAGCAGUGAAAUGCGUAGAUAUCAAGUGGAACACCAGUGGCGAAGGCGAGUCUCUGGACAUUUCCUGACGCUGAGGCACGAAAGCCAGGGGAGCAAACGGG